rnacentral:rRNA from 1 species
AUUGAACGCUGGCGGCAGGCCUAACACAUGCAAGUCGAGCGAGCGGCGGACGGGUGAGUAAUGUAUGGGGACUGCCCGAUAGAGGGGGAUAACUACUGGAAACGGUGGCUAAUACCGCAUACUAUCGGAUAACCCAUAUGGGAUUAGCUAGUUGGUGCGGUAAUGGCUGACCAAGGCGACGAUCCCUAGCUGGUCUGAGAGGAUGAUCAGCCACACUGUGAGUGAGACACGGGCCAGACUCCUACGGAGGCAGCAGUGGGGAAUAGUGCACAAAGGGCGCAAGCCUGAUGCAGCCAUGUCGGGUGUAUGAAGAGGGCCAUAGGGUGGUAAAGUACUUUCAGUCGGGAGGCGUUACCGACAGAAGAAGCACCGGCUAACGCCGUGCCAGCAGCCGCGGUAAUAC